rnacentral:lncRNA from 1 species
GCUGUUUGUUAUUUUGUUUUUGCCUUUUCUCUUUGAAUCCAAAUUGUAUCCGUCUUGGAGAGACAAAUCUGAUCUGCAUUUAGCACGAAUAGUCACAUUGAAGUCUCCCUAAGUACACUUGUAGGAGCAAAGAAACUUUCGACCGGAGAAAAACAUAGAAAACGUUUGUGAUACUAUUAAGCAAAAAUACCAUGACAUUUUCCCUCCAUUUUGAGCUGGAACAAUCUAGGAGCAUAUACAUGUUUUUGAUGUUCCAAAGGUUAAAAUAUAUUUUUGAAUUCGUCCUUUCUUUCGAUUUCCAAUUUAAAUGGUAUGAUGCUAACAUACAGAGAUCAUUUCUGUAUGUAUUUUCUUGGCCAUUCCCCCUUAUGGGGGGUGGGGGAGAGUAUUUCUGAUCAAGAGAUUUUUUUUUUGGUCUUCUAUAUCUGUUUCAUUUUCUUGAGCCGGGGAUCUAUCGGAAACAGCCUCUCUACCUCGUUAGAGGUAGUGGUAUGGACUGCGUACACUCUACCCUCCCCAGACCCCACUAUGUGGGAAUAUACUGGGUUUGUUGUUGUUGUUGUAUACAUGUGUAUAUGUUUUAUAAAUUUGUAUAUAACUAUAUAUAUAGUGUGUGUAUAUAUUGUAGUAUAUUUUAUUUAAAGUAGUAUGUAUUUAUUGAAUGGUACGUAUAUAUGUGUAUAUAUCUUCUAUGAACGUGUGUAUAUAUUGUAGUAUAUUUUUUUUAAGUAGAAUGCAUAUAUUGAAUGGUACGUAUAUAUGUGUAUAUAUCUUCUAUAGACGUAUAUAUUUAACGUAUACAUGUGUAUAUAUUUUAUAGAUUAGUAUAUAACUAUAUAUAUAAUGUGUAUAUAUUGUAGUAUAUUUAUUUAAAGUAGAAUGUAAGUAGAAUGUAUAUAUUGAAAUGGUACGUAUAUAUGUGUAUAUAUCUUCUAUGGACGUAUAUAUUUAACGCAUAUAUGUGUAUAUGUUUUAUAAAUUAGUAUAUAACUAUAUAUAUAGUGUGUGUAUAUAUUGUAGUAUAUUUUAUUUAAAGUAGUAUGUCUAUAUUGAAUGGUACGUAUAUAUGUGUAUACAUCUUCUAUAGACGUAUAUAAUUAAUGUGUACAUGUGUAUACAUAUACACUAUAUAUUUUAUAUGUGUACAUAUAUAUUGAAUGGUGUGUAUAUAUGUGUAUAUUUUCUAAAGUAGUAUAUAUUUAACGUAUACAAGUGUAUAUGUUUUAUAAAUUAGUAUAUAACUAUAUAUAUAGUGUGUGUAUAUAUUGUAGUAUAUUUUAUUUAAAGUAGUAUGUAUAUAUUGAAUGGUACGUAUAUAUGUGUAUAUAUCUUCUAUGGUACAUAUAUAUUACAUGUGUAAUUGUGUAUAUGUAUUAUAUGUAUAUAUCUUUUAAAUAGUAAUGUAGUAUAUACUAUACAUAUAGUAUAUAUCUAUUGUUUAACGUAUUGAAAAUGUAUAUAGAUGGGUAUAUAUAGUGUUUAUUGGAGAAAAAACUUUUAUUUUUUGGUUUUCGACCGGAUUUUUAAUCGAUUUUGAUCGGGUUUAGGUGGGUUGGACUGGGUUGGGUUAAGUGGGCCGAUUCAGGGUUGUUUUAAAAUUUUUUACUGUUGGGCCCAGAAUCGGACCAGCCCGUUUAACUAGGCUCGAAUCCGAACCGGCCCACAAAUCGAAUAAAAUUCACGGGCCGGUUUCGAGUUGACCCGGCUCGGCCCACUUAACACCCUUAGUAUGACAGGAAGUGUCAUUCUCUUGUUGGAUGGUAUGAAGUUGGUGAAAAUGAGUUGUUUGGUCCUGACUUAGUUUACCAGCCAUGGAGAAAGUGAAGAUGAUUCUGGAUAAACCGCUCAAAGUCGCCAAAAGUCCUAUGCAGAUGUGAGGCGUAGGGAGUUAGAGUUUGAGUUUAGUGAUUGGGUGUUCUUAAAGGUGUCUCCUAUGAAGGGGUGAUGCGAUUUAGUAAAAAAGGAAAGCUUAGUCCUCAUUAUGUUGGUCCGUACUUGGUUUUGAAGAGGGUUGGUAGUGUUGUGUAUGAGUUAGAGUUGCCUUCUAGUUGAGCUCUUCAUUCAUCCGGUAUUUCAUUUCUCGAUAUUAAGAAGGUGCGUGGGUGAUCCUUUGUCGAUUGUCCCUUUGGAGGGGUUGGGUAUUUUGGACUCCUUGUCUUAUGAGAAAGUCCAAUUGAAAUCUUGGAUCGACAAGUUCAUUGGUUGCGGACGAAGGAUGUGGUUUCAGUAAAGGUUCUUUAGAGGAACCACAAAGUUGAAGAGGCCACUUGGGAAGCUGAAGAGGACAUGAAGUCCAAGUAUCAGUUCUUGUUUCCCAUUCCGAAAAUCGUGCCCAAGGAAUAUGUUAUUCUUACCAUCUUUAUUUUCUAACUUUGUUAAAAGAAAGGGUGAUUUCCUUGGCAUCUUCGUUUUCUAACUUGGUUAAAGGUAAAAGUAAAGGUCUAUGGAGUCCAAUCGUGCUUAUGUUGCCUUGACCCAUCAUUCGAAGAUGAAUGAUCCAAGUUAGGGAGAAUGUAACGCCCCAAAUUUUUAGCCCUUGAAAAAUUCUUGUGCUUAGGGCUCACUCUCUUGGUCACGACUCGUGGUGAUAAGUUGUGAGAUGUGGUUACGGGUCAUAGGACCCUGGUCAUAACCAAAUUCAAAACUUAGUGGCAAAUUUCUGCUCUGAGUAUAAGUGGCUUACUAUGAGACGUGAGGAUAUGUUACGAGUUGUAGGUUCAAAUCAUAUGAUGUCCAGUGUUUAAUUAAUUUGGGUUUUGCGUAGCUUAUGACUAGACCUUACGAGUCGUAAGAUCUCAUUAUGAGUGGGUUGGCAGAGUCGUAAGGUAGGCAGUUUAUGGGGGCCCUAAUCACUAUUUUGGUUAAGGUAUGGUUACGAGUCAAGGGGUUGACUCAUAACUAAAGGCGACUUUUUUCAUCUUUUAAGUUGAGGACAUUCUAGACAUUUCCCCUCUUUCCCAACUUAAAACCCACGUCUUAUAACUUCUUUAGGACAUUAUUAGCUAUCAUAAACACAUCAAAUAAUCUCUUAGAAUACUCCUAAAUCCUCAAGGGUCAAGAACACUUAGGGUUUUCAUGAAGCUAUUCAGUUGGGACUUUCAAGGAUAAUUUCUCUACGUACUUCUUGGUGAUUAAGGCAUGUUACUCUUCCCUCAUUGUUAUUUUAUUAAAAAGCACAUGUUUUAAGGUAUAACUUUUAUGGUAUUGUUAUGGUUUUGAAACAAAGAUUGGGGGGUUUUGAAUGCUUGUGGUUGAAUGAUGUUUUCCUAUGGUUUAAUUGUGAUUAUUCACGCUUUAAAUAUGGUUUUGAACAUGUGGGUGCAUGGGUAUUGUGAAUGAACUUAUAAAUUGUGAUUUCUUAAACUUGCGACUCUUCAACCGUCCAUGACCCCAACCCUGUAUGGUGAAACUGGUUUUCAGUUAUAAGAAAUAUGGGAAUUGAAUUGUGGCAUUAUGAUGUUGAAUUGAACCUUAUGGAACUAUGUUUUUACAAACUAUGGCUUUAAUGAACUAAAGGAGGUCGAGGUAUUCCUCCAAAUUGAUUUUAUGAACUAAAAUGGGGUGUGGCGUUCCCCCAAGUUAAACAUGAUUGUUAUGGCAUAGAGUUAAACUUGCAAGUGAAGGGUAUGGCGAUACCCCUGUAUGACUUAACAGUUGGUUCAUUGAUCAAUAAUUGAAAUUAUGUGCAGCUUGUUUUAAAUUAGCUUAAUGGGAAUUAUAUAGCAAUGUUGAGAAGGUGUGGGUCUUGCAUGACUUGUACUGGGAACUCGUGUUUACCGACAUAAGUUUUGGUCUUGAUGACCUGUGUGCAUGAGUCACACUUGAUAUAUGUUGGGAUGGAUAAUUGCCUAGAUGGCUUAGCUUUCCCUCAGAUUUUAUCUGGAACGUGUGGCUAACACGCACCGGGGCCCUUUCAACAGGGGGAGCUAUACCCAUAUAGCCCGUGAGUGCCUAUUAUGACGGUUGAGCUACAUAGUCCAGGAUAAAGUUUCCCUUCAUGAUUAAACUUGUUCCCUAUACCGGCAUUAUAUAUAUAUAUAAUUGCAUAUGGUUAUGUACAAUGGUUUGACUUGAUUUUGAAUUGAUGGCAUUACUUUAUCUUUAUCUUUAAGUACAUGCUAAUGUUCACCCCACUAACCGUCUCCGAGCGCUGCAUCCCCACGCGAUGUAGGUGCCGGAGCAAUUUUUACUUUCCCUGCGCAGAGUUAGGUGGAUCAGUCCAGUUCGUUAGUCUUUGAUGGUGAAGUGGUGAGCUUCCAUUUCUCCGAAAGACUUAGUCAUUUCAUCCGUUUCUUUCCAUAAUUUAGAAAUGAAGAGUUCACAUUGUCAUUGUCAGAGUCGGGGGCAUGCCCCAACUUUUUAUUGGUACUCAUUUGGUAGAGGCUUUGUUUGGACUACUGUGGACAUGGGUGGUAUGAUUUGGUUUGGUUAGACUAGUAUAAUGUCUUUAAGAUUGAAUUUUCUUAUCUUGUUAUAUGUUCAGAAUUCAUCCGGCAAGGGGUGUACGGUAUAGACGGUGGUUUGGGUAUUUGGGGGUAGUCUCUAGUCCUUAUUGGACUUGAGAUACCCGUCACGGCCAGGCCCUGGUUCGGGUCAUGACCCCUAAGACUUGUCUCAUAUUAAAUCUUAUCCAUAUUUGUUGCCUUGAAUUGGUAGUUUGAUUAGAUUUUGGCAAAACAACUUUCCACCCCACCCCACCCCCAUUUUAGUUCAUGUAUUUCAUUUUGUUUACAUUACGGGUAUCUAUUUAGUAGCUAUUAACAACCAUAGGAUUUGGAGACUAAUUCCACUCCUUGAGGAUUCGACCCAAACUAACAUUAGGUUAAUAACUUGACAAAAAUCGCCUUACCCAUUAAUCAUGAAGUGGGUUGAGAGUUAUCAAUAGGGUUGCUGCCCUUGUGAAAGAACGUCAACUCAAUGGCUCUCUUUUCUCUCAUCCUAAACUUUUGACCUAAUUCUCACAAUGACCAAUCAACCAAUUCUGGCAACUGGCCUACUGGCUCCAAUGGCUUACCAAAACCUACUAACCCUUUUUCAAUUCCCACCUCUCCCUUCCAAGAACAUUCAUGAGCCUUCCACGUACAAUACUAGCGCUAACAAAAUCCAAAAAGAUGAAGCAUCCCCAAAGAAAUAUUUUGGUGCACUUUUUAACAUUGAAUAUGAUAAUGGAGUACCAAUGGUAACGUGAACUCAAGCUGAGGUCAAUCGCAUGAACAUUAUAGAACAUCUCCAAUAUUCUAUUAUUGGAAAAUUCUCUUUCAAUUGGCCUAGCAUUGAAGAUCUAAGGAAAGCAGUUCCUUCACAGUGUAGUAUCAAAGCUGACUGUCGCAUAGAGUAUUGCGAAAUAAACAUAUUCUUAUUAGAUGUGUCCUAGUAGAAGAUUUCGUUAAUGUGAUGUCUAGAACCUCGUAUUAUAUCAAGGACAAGAAUGACCAAGAUUUUCAGAUGUGUUCUUUGAUUUAUGAUGCAAAGUUCAAGGUGAAUAAGGAAACUACGCAAGCUAUGACAUGGAUUUCAUUCCCUAUUCUACUGCUUACCUUUUCUGUUAAAAACACACUUUUUACAAUAGCUUUAGCGUAGGAAAGUCAUUGCAAUUAGAUAUGGCCACCCAAUAAAACCAGACCUAAUUAUGCUAGGGUCAAGGUUUAGGUCGACCUAUUAUCUACGCUCCUUCAUUCGAUGAAAAUGAAAAUCAAAGAUGAUAAAUCAGGAAGUGAGAGCACAGAAACUAUCAAGAUACAAUAUGAUCUGCUCCUUAAAUUUGUACCAAUUGUAAUUUUCAAGGACAUAACACAAGUAUUGUAGAAUGUUACAACCGGAACUAAGACAACAAAUGCAAGGCAACAAUGAUGAAGGCACACAAUCUCUAGUAGAGAGAUCACCUCAGAAACAAAAGAAGUCCAAAACAUUUCUUCCAAGGAGACAGAUAAGCGGCAAAAUAGUUGGUGAUCUACAGGUUUGGAAAGAAAAAGAAAAUAUCAUACAAGACAUAAAACAUAAUAACAUGAAGGCAAUGUACAACAAAUCUGAUGAUGAUUAGAAAAUUGCAACCAAAAUUAAAUUUGAUACAUUGACAGACUUGAAUCGUGAACAGGGAGAAAGAAAAGAUAAUCAAGACAUAGGAGAACUUUCCGAUAAGCAACAUGUGAAGAUGGAUAGCUUUGGUGAUAAUGAUAAUACACAGGAGCUACAAAAUAAAGAUGCAAGAAAAGAAGUUCAAUAAGUAGACAUUCAACGCACCACGGAAGAAAAGUGACUGCAACAGUAGCAACAAUGGAGGAAAAGGUGAGAGGACAAGGGCUUGGGUGGAAGGAGUUUUUGAAAAAUCAUCCCAACAAAGAUCUAGGAAGUGGAGAGAUAGGGUAGAAUAGGAGGAUGGGAUAGAGGAUGAAGAAGUGGGAUCGUAUAAUAGCUUAUGUGAAGGGAAGAAAAUGGGCACAAAAUCUUUUAAUGCUAUUAUAUUAGCACCAGAUAUUGUUACAACUAUUAAAGAUUUGCAAUCAUAUGAGAAUUUGGUUGAAUAUUAUCCACCAAAAAAAGGAGCAUGCAGCCAUAACAAAUGAUGAAGCCAGGGUUCCACUUGAAAGUAAUGAUAUUCAAACGACAAAAUAUCCUAAUAGGAAGUUGUAAGGAAUUGUUACUCAUUCUUCAAGAGAAGAAGAGGUAGAAAAGGAAAAAUUAAAAAAAAGGAGGACGUAGUUCAAAUAAUUCUCCCAAACAAAAAGGAGGCAAAAGAGGUAGUAAAGAAGGAAAUACAGAACUGCAACAGUCUAAUGUGAGACUGGCCAGAAGUGUUGACACUAAAUUUAAUAGCAUGUGAUGAUUAAAGUCAUUUUUUGAAAUAUCAAAUCAGUGAGAACACAUCAAGCUUUUCAUAGGGUACAAAUGCCUUAUAGGCAUCAUAAGUUUACAUUGAUUGCACUAUUGUAGCCUAUUCAAAGACUAACUCAAAUUAACAAAUACAAAAGGAGACAAGGAAUGAAAAAUAAAGGUAGUAAUUGCAAUGUGAAAAUCUAGUACUUUGUAGAAUAUAAUGUGGACGUUGAAGCGGCUAUGGAUACAGGCCAACAAAUUACUUUAAAGCUUUUGUUACGGGAUUCAAAUAAGCAAUGUUAUACCUCUAUUGUAUAUGCUCAAUGCAUUGAGAGGGCAAGGUUAACUUUGUGGGACAAUAUUUAUCAAUUAUCUAAUAACAUGGAGCUACCAUGGUUUGUGGAAGGAGAUUUCAAUAUUAUUUUAAAUGAAAAGGAGAAACUAGGAGGUUUUUCUGUUCUCCCCCAAGAAGGGGAAGAUUUUGCUGUUUUGCAUCAACUCAUGUGAGCGGCAAGAGGUGAAUUACACAGGUAACCCUUUUACAUGGUGGAAUGGUAGAGUAGGGGAAGAUUUCAUUUUUAAAAGACUUGAUAGAGUUGUCAUCAAUAAACUCUGGCAAUGGUUUGAAGGAAUGGAAAUGGAACACUUAUGCAGAACAAGUUUAGAUCAUGCUUCAUUAUUGAUUACUAUGACGAAUAAAGGUAAAAUUUUCCAUAAACCUUUUAAAUUUUUUGAAGUUUUGUGCAGAUAAUGAAGGCUUUAUGGGGGUAGUGAGACAAAACUAGACUGCAGAUAAUGAGGGCAAUUGUUUUUACCAGUUUAAUCAGAAGGUUCAAAAAAGCACUGACUAUUUGGAGAAAGGAAACAUAUGGUGAUAUUUUCAAGUAUAUACUAAUCAGAGAAGAGACAAAAAAGAUUAAGAAGCAGUUGUUUAAUGAUGUUCUUGAUGCUGAGAAUAGGAUGGUUAUGCACCAGGCUCAAGCUGAACUCAAAAAAUACUGGCACUAUGAGGAAGAAUUUUGGAGGCAAAAAGCCAGUAUUACUUGAUACUCAGGAAGGUGACAAAAAUAUUAGUUCAUUUCGCAAUCUAGUUAUGGGCAAGAGAAAGAGGUUGCAAUCAAAAGUAUUCAGAAUGAAGAAGGGCAGUAGUUACAAGAUGAGGGACAUGAAGCUAAUGAGGCUAUCGAUUUUAUCAGAAGCAAUUCACUCAAGAGGAGGAGGCUAAUGAUUUCUCAAUUAUUAAUCAUGUGCCAGAAUUAAUUAGUAGAGAACACAAUGAGUUGAUGUGCAGGAAGCCAGAGUUGGAGGAAGAAAAGAAGGCUGUUUUUAAUCUACAGGGUUUCGUACUAGUCGUCCAGAUGGACUAAUAGGUUUAUUCUAUCAAAAAUAUUGGGAUAUAGUGGGAGGAGAUGUAUUUACGCUAGUUGAAGCUUUUUUUUUUUUGCAGGAAACCUAUUACUCAUACAAAUCUGGUGCUAUUACCAAAAAAGACUACCAUCCAGAUAUUUGCAGAUUUGAUACCUAUAAGCUCGAGUAAUUUUAUUGAUAAAGUUAUUUCUAGAGUGGUACAUGAUAGAUUAGAAGAUGUACUGUCUCUAAUUAUUUCUCCCAAUCAAUCAGAUUUUGUGAAAGAAAAAGCAUAAUAGAGAAUGUACUACUGACACAGGAAAUCAUCACUGACCUAAGGAAGAGAGGAAAGCCAAAUAAUAUUGUAAUAAAGCUGGAUAUGUCCAAAGCUUAUGAUAGAGUUUCUUGGCUGUACCUUUGUAAAGUUUUGAGAAAAUUGGGAUUUGAUGAAAUUUUUAUUGACAUGAUUUGGAGAUUACUAGCUAACAACUGGUAUUCUAUUUUGUUGAACGAGCAAACUCAAGGAUUUUUUCAUUCAACCAAGGGAGUGAGGCAAGGAGAUCCUUUAUCUCUAGUCCUUUUUAUCAUUUUAGCUGAAGUUUUGUCUAGAGCUUUGAAUUCUCUGACGGAGUCAGCGAAUUACCAAGGAUUUGAUAUGCUUAAGUGGAGUACCAAAAUUAAUCACCUAACUUAUGCAGAUGACACAAUUAUUUUCACCUCUGCAGAAACAAGUUUGUUAGGAAUGAUUAAAGAGGUUUUACAUGGGUAUGAGAAGGUGUCCGGUUAGUUAAUAAAUACAGAGAAAUCUUCUUUCUAUAUGUAUUAGAAGAUUCAAGAGGUUUUGCUUUAGGAGGUAGCUGACAUCACUGAUUUAAAAGAGGUGUUUUUCCUUUUAACUAUCUGGGUUGUCCCAUUUUUCAUGCUAGAAAGAAGAAAGUAUAUUAUAAUGAUCUAAUCAAGAAUAUCAAAGAUAGGCUACAAAAUUGGAACAAAAAACUUUUGUCAUUUGAAGGUAAAGCUGUAUUGAUUAACAAUGUGCUUCAGAGUAUGCCAAUUUAUCUGUUGUCUGUAAUGGCACCUACUAAGUACACUUUAAAUGAAAUUCAUAAAAUCUUUUCUAGAUUUUACUGGAUCAACAAGGAAGAAGGGAGAAGUAAGCACUGGUCAACAUGGUUGAAAAUCUACCUUUCUAAACAGGAAGGGGGCAUAGGCUUCAGGUCUUUAUUUGAUGUUUUCAAAUUCUUUUUUGCCAAAUUUUGGUGAAAGUUCAGAACUACAACAAUAAUGUGAAAAAAUUUCAUGUGAAAUAAAAUAUUGUAAAAAGUACUAACAAUGGUGAACUGGAAAGGGGGGUCAUAACUUUCGAAGAAAAUGUUGGAGGUUAGGGAUGAAAUAGAAUCCAAUAUUUGGUGGGAACCUAGAAAUGGUAAUGCAAACUUUUGGUUUGACAACUGGACUAGGUUGGAUCCUCUGAUUCAUCUCAUGCCCUCAAAUCAAAGAGACUUGAGAUUUGAAGAGGUAAAUCAUUUCAUGAAGGAAGUUUUGUGGAAUAAAAAUUUGCUCAGGCAUAACUUACCAUCUUAUCUGGUUGAGCAUAUCAUGACAGAAUUGCCCAAGAAAGGGAAAAAUAUAGCUUGUGAUAAACCAUGGUUUCUAGGCAUAAGCAAUGGAAAUUUUACUGUUAAGUCCUCUUGGGAAAUAUGUAGGCAAAGGGAAGAGACACAGGGGUUUUUUCACAAGAUAUGGACAGUUGGAUUACCUUAUAAAAUCUCUUUUUUCUUAUGGAGGGUGUGGAAGAAGAAACUACUUGUUGAUGAUGUUCUAGCUUCGAUGAUGAUCAAUAUUGUCUCAAGAUAUAGGUGUUAUGAACAACCUCAUCAGGAAAACCUAAUUCACUUUUUCCUGAAUGGAGAUUUUGCUAGAGAUAUUUGGAAUGUUUUACAGGGAUAGCAGGAGCACAAGGUUCGUUCAUACAAGUAAAUCAGGCAAUCACAAUGGUGGAAAAAAGAUUGUGCACCUAACUUGAAAUCGAUAUAUCAAGCUGCACAGCAGUGAUAUUAUGGCAAUUAUGGAAGAGGAGGAGCAAGUUAGUUCAUGGGGGAACAAUGUCAAGGAAUAAAGUGAUUUAUGACAUCAAUCAAAAUUUGUAUCUUCUUCCGAAGAUCAAAUUCCUUAGAUCACAGAUAUUCCUAAUAAUUGGGCUAUUUAAUUCUAAAACUGGAGACAUAUAUGCAACAAAUACAAUGCAAGUUUAUAAACUAGCAGUUGUCCUUAAAGGGUACUUUUAAAUAUAACACUGAUGCUUCAUCUAAAGAUAACCCUGGACCUAGUUCAAUAGCAUUUUGCAUUAGAGAUUGGAGUGGCGACCUCAAUUAUGCAAGGAUAACAAGAAUAUCCAACACUACUAGCCUCCAAGCAGAAGCUAUGGCUAUUCUAGAUGCUAUUGAGUAUUAUGUGACACACCAUAUGAUGCCUCUGAUUAUUGAAACAGACUCCCUGAUAAUGAAAAAAGUGAUAGAAGGGGAAUGAGGUAGUCCUUGGUCUAUCAGUAUGAUUGCACAAAUAAUUAUGGAGUGGAAGAAAAAGGGCGAAGUGUGUGUCUCACAUGUACUAAGGGAAGGAAAUCAACUAGCCGACUAUUUAACUAACAAGUUUGAUGAUUUUGCAAGUACUAUUCACUUUCAUAAUGAAGAAGAUCUACCAAUAGAAACAAGAAGAAUUAUCCAUGCAGACAAAAUUCAGAUGCCUAAUUUGUGUUUGCAAGAAAGAGAACCAGACUAGACCAUUUCACAAUCAAAGUAAAAAGGCAACAGUAGAGCAAACAACAUACAUCUAGAAAUAAAGUUCACAAUUUCAAUGGUAAAAACAUCAAGCCAAUUGAUACAGUUUACAACGAUUCAAGAUGUCAUAAGUUUAUCGCAAAUUCAACACAUCCAAAAAUAUAAAGGUAUAAUUGAGUAGAUUUUCUAGCGGUGGCAUCAAUCUUCUUGAAGGUUCAACCCACUGAAGGAAAAGUUGAUUUUACCAAAAGAUUUUCUAAUUUGUGUUUCUAUAGUUCUAUUCCUAGAAAAUCUUGAUUACGGAUCUUACCUGAGGGCGUAAUAGCUCAUGCUAUCCUCGAACAAGUUGAAGAAGUCUUCAUUUGGGACAGAUCUCACAGCAUCUGGUGAGAGCAUUGGGGUGUCUUGAGUGGAAUCUACCAAAACUUGUCAACAGUCUAUAACUGAGUUUAGUAGCUCAAAAGAAUCUAAAUGGUCAGAGGUUAAUGUAGAUAGACUCACAUUAGUGCACUUCAUCACCUUUAUUUUGAUGUCUGAUGUCUCAAGUGACAGAUGUUAAUUUCGUUGAUGGUGAAAGAGAGUCUCGGGGUUUUGGACUUAAAAGUUUUAAAAUGGGAGUACUUGAGUGGAG